rnacentral:sRNA from 1 species
GUGUACACAAGCCCUUUAUCACAGUAGCAUAGAUGCACUGGAGGUCAUGUCUGAUGAGGAGUUAAAAGAGUUGUUUAAAGAAGCUCCAUUUUCUGAAUUUUUUCUCGAUCCUGGAACAAAUGUCCUAGAUACCUGCCGCAAAGCAAAUGCCAUUCCAGAUGGCCCCCGAGGAUAUCGAAUGAUAACAGAAGGCGGAGUCAGCAUAAAUCACCAACAAGUAACAAAUCCUGAGAGUGUUUUAAUUGUUGGACAACAUAUUCUCAAGAAUGGACUUUCCUUACUUAAAAUAGGAAAAAGAAAUUUCUACAUUAUAAAAUGGCUUCAGUUAUGAUGAAAAGUCCUUCUGGUUGUCCAAAUAAACUUACCCAUCAUUCAUUCUCAAGACCUCUGAAGGUUGGCUCCAGAACUUAGACCUUUGCUUAUGCAAAUCAGAAAAACAGAAUGGACUAGGACUCAGUAGAUGGGGUCUCUUUUUUUAGUGCCAUCUG